UGGGGAAUAUUGGACAAUGGGCGAAAGCCUGAUCCAGCCAUGCCGCGUGUGUGAAGAAGGUCUUCGGAUUGUAAAGCACUUUAAGUUGGGAGGAAGGGCAUUAACCUAAUACGUUAGUGUUUUGACGUUACCGACAGAAUAAGCACCGGCUAACUCUGUGCCAGCAGCCGCGGUAAUACAGAGGGUGCAAGCGUUAAUCGGAAUUACUGGGCGUAAAGCGCGCGUAGGUGGUUUGUUAAGUUGGAUGUGAAAUCCCCGGGCUCAACCUGGGAACUGCAUUCAAAACUGACUGACUAGAGUAUGGUAGAGGGUGGUGGAAUUUCCUGUGUAGCGGUGAAAUGCGUAGAUAU
rnacentral:rRNA from 1 species